rnacentral:misc_RNA from 1 species
UUUCCGUAGGUGAACCAGCGGAAGGAUCAUUACCGAGUUAAGGUCUUCCAGGCCCGACCUACCAACCCUCUGUUCAUUUAACCUCUGUUGCUUCCGCUGGCCCGCCUCCCGGCCGCCGGGGGCGUCGCGGCGCCGCACCCGCUGGCCAGCGUCAGCCGAUAGCCAACCUCAAACCGCUCGAUGUAACUUGUCAUAAAAACUAAGUCAAAGUUUAAAUAAAAGAACAACUUUCAACAACAGAUCUCUUGGUUCUAGCAUAUCGGAAGAACACAGCUGCGC